rnacentral:rRNA from 1 species
UACGGGGGGGGCAAGCGUUGUUCGGAAUUACUGGGCGUAAAGCGCACGUAGGCGGCUUUGUAAGUUAGGGGUGAAAGCCCGGUGCUCAACACCGGAAUUGCCUUUAAGACUGCAUCGCUUGAAUCCAGGAGAGGUGAGUGGAAUUCCGAGUGUAGAGGUGAAAUUCGUAGAUAUUCGGAAGAACACCAGUGGCGAAGGCGGCUCACUGGACUGGUAUUGACGCUGAGGUGCGAAAGCGUGGGGAGCAAACGGG